rnacentral:rRNA from 1 species
GACGAACGCUGGCGGCGUGCCUAAUACAUGCAAGUAGAACGCUGAAGGAGGAGCUUGCUCUUCUGGAUGAGUUGCGAACGGGUGAGUAACGCGUAGGUAACCUGCCUGGUAGCGGGGGAUAACUAUUGGAAACGAUAGCUAAUGCCGCAUAAGAGUAGAUGUUGCAUGACAUUUACUUAAAAGGUGCAAUUGCAUCACUACCAGAUGGACCUGCGUUGUAUUAGCUAGUUGGUGGGGUAACGGCUUACCAAGGCGACGAUACAUAGCCGACCUGAGAGGGUGAUCGGCCACACUGGGACGGAGACACGGCCCAGACUCCUACGGGAGGCAGCAGUAGGGAAUCUUCGGCAAUGGACGGAAGUCUGACCGAGCAACGCCGCGUGAGUGAAGAAGGUUUUCGGAUCGUAAAGCUCUGUUGUAAGAGAAGAACGAGUGUGAGAGUGGAAAGUUCACACUGUGACGGUAUCUUACCAGAAAGGGACGGCUAACUACGUG